rnacentral:rRNA from 1 species
AAUGAACGUUGGCGGCGUGGAUUAGGCAUGCAAGUCGGACGCCCCGAAAGGGGCGUGGCGCAAGGGUGAGUAAGGCGACGGCAACCCACCCCGGGGCCGGGCAUAGCCGAGGGAAACCUCGGGUAAUUCCCGGCGCCGCAGGUUUUCGGCAUCGGAGACCUGCGAAAGGUGUGACUCCGCCCCGGGACGGGCCGUCGUGGUAUUAGGUCGUUGGCGGGGUGACGGCCCACCAAGCCUGCGAUGCCUACCGGGCGUGCGAGCGCGGCCCGGCACACUGGGACUGAGACACUGCCCAGACUCCUACGGGAGGCUGCAGUCGAGAAUCUUCGGCAAUGGGCGCAAGCCUGACCGAGCGACGCCGCGUGGGGGACGAAGGCCCUCGGGUUGUAAACCCCUGUCGAGGGGGGGCAAGGGCCGGUGCAGAGCCGGCCUCGAGUGACCCCUGGAGGAAGCACGGGCUAAGUUCGUGCCAGCCGCCGCCGUAAUAC